rnacentral:tRNA from 1 species
AAAAAGAAAGCAUAGUGGUUAUGCAGUUGGCUUGAAACUAAUUAAUGUGGGCUCGAUUCCUACUCUUUUUG